UGAGGUGACUCAUUAAUGAAAGUUUUUC
rnacentral:piRNA from 1 species